rnacentral:rRNA from 1 species
ACAGUCGACACACUGGGACGCCUUUUUCGCCACGCUGCCGAGCUCAAUGUGUUGCAAAAACUGCACCCCCGCCGAGCGCUUCCCGUCCUCUCGCUGUACACGGACGAUGUCAUACUCAUUUGCCACCCCUCGGCAAGCGACACACUCGUUGUCCGGGAUAUCCUGCAGCUAUUU